GAAUCCUGACACAGGGAGGUAGUGACAAGAAAUAACAAUACAGGGCUACUUCUAGUCUUGUAAUUGGAAUGAGUACAACUUACAUCUCUUCACGAGGAUCAAUUGGAGGGCAAGUCUGGUGCCAGCAGCCGCGGUAAUUCCAGCUCCAAUAGCGUAUAUUAAAGUUGUUGCAGUUAAAAAGCUCGUAGUCGGAUUUCGGGGCGGGCCGAGCGGUCUGCCGAUGGGUAUGCACUGUUCGGCGCGUCCUUCUUUCCGGAGACUAGUUCUACUCUUAACUGAGCGGGACUGGGAGACGGAUCGUUUACUUUGAAAAAAUCAGAGUGUUUCAAGCAGGCAGCUCGCUCUUGCAUGGAUUAGCAUGGGAUAAUGAAAUAGGACUCUGGUGCUAUUUUGUUGGUUUCGAACACCGGAGUAAUGAUUAACAGGGACAGUCA
rnacentral:rRNA from 1 species